UACGUAGGAGGCGAGCGUUGUCCGGAUUUACUGGGCGUAAAGCGCGCGCAGGCGGCACACUAAGUACGAUGUGAAAUCUCCCUGCUCAACGGGGAGGGUGCAUAGUAAACUGGUGAGCUAGAGGACGGUAGAGGGGGGUGGAAUUGCUGGUGUAGCGGUGAAAUGCGUAGAGAUCAGCAGGAACACCCGUGGCGAAGGCGGCCCCCUGGGCCGAACCUGACGCUGAGGCGCGAAGGCUAGGGGAGCGAACGGGG
rnacentral:rRNA from 1 species